GAGAAAGAGAGUCACAAUCGGAUCGCCGCUCAAAUGGGAGAGAAGCCUUUUGGGGGCUUUUGUUAAAUUUGGAAUCCCGCCACUUUAGUUUUCAGAAUUUGUACCAAACCAGCCGGGAUACUCUCCGAAGGUUCACUUUUCAACGUCGGAUAAUCCGUGAAUUGCCGCCAUUAAUCACAAGAACAUAGGGCCAUGUUAGUUAGGAUAAAAUAUCAAUUACACUUUUAUGUGUUUAUCCACCCCUCAAGAUUUACGUGAUCACACUUUUGUAUCUCUGCUUUUUUUUUACCCCAUAGAAAUAUCUAUCACAACCGCACAAAUCGCCAGAAAACGCAAACGCAUGAACAGAAUAUUCCAGCCCCAAAA